GUCGCAUUGGCGCAAUGGUAGCGCGCAAGACUUCUAAUCUUGAGGUUGUGGGUUCGAGUCCCACAUGCGAUG
rnacentral:tRNA from 1 species